AAACCAUUUUAAUAUGGCGGCAUUUCAUCUAAUUAGAGGAAUCUGUCCUUUAAUCGAUAAUCCACGUUAAAUUUCACUUUAAUUUAAAACUUAUAUACCUCCAUUUUAAGAAUUACUUUAAAAUAUAUCUCUUAAAAAUAAAUAAAAAAUUAGGUCAAGGUGUAAUUUAUAUUAAAGAAUGAGAUGAAUUACAUUAAAUAUAAUUUAAAGAUCAUCAAUAAAUAUAUUUAUUUAAAUAAGAAUUUAAAAGUAAUAUUUCAACAAUAAUAUAAUAUGAUUUAAAUAAUAAAUGUGCACACAUCGCCC
rnacentral:rRNA from 1 species